rnacentral:misc_RNA from 1 species
UUUCCGUAGGUGAACCUGCGGAAGGAUCAUUCAUAAUAAGUGGUUUAUGGCACUUUUUUAAAUCCAUAUCCACCUUGUGUGCAAUGUCAGGGUUGAUUUUUCUCUCGAGAGGAUCAACCCCAAACAUCAACUAUAUCUCAACUCUUUGUCUGAAAAAUAUUAUGAAUAAAACAAUUCAAAAUACAACUUUCAACAACGGAUCUCUUGGCUCUC